rnacentral:sRNA from 1 species
CUGCUGCGGACAGAUAUAGUGAAUGUGCGAAUCAAUCGCGCCGGCGGUGACAAUCAGAUUUUCUCCCGCGAGCGCCUCGGUGGAGGCGCCCACCGUCAUGCCCGGAGUCACGCCGUCCAUGAGAUCCGGAUUGCCCGCCUUGCCGAUUCCGGCAAUUUUUCCGUCCUUGAUGCCGAUAUCCGCCUUAUAAAUGCCGGUAUAGUCCAGAAUCAGCGCGUUGGUAAUCACCAGAUCCAGCACGCCGUCCGCGCGGCACGCCUUGACGGACUGCCCCAUUCCGUCCCG